UUUUCUUCUAUUUUCUUUCUUUCUUUACAUUAUCUUUUCUCUCCCUUCCCAUUUUCAUACCCACGACGCUACUCUCACUAUCGACAGCACCACUAUCAGUGGCGCCAUUGUCGGUGGCAUCACUACUAGCGGCGCCACUGCCAACGGCAAUCUCCUUCGACCACAUUUUUUUUUCUCUCUCUCUAUUUUCCGUACAGCUUUUCGCUUUCAUUCUCUCAGAUUUUUUUAUAUGAAUUAUUGCAUCCAUGGUUGCUGCAAAGAGCAUUCAUCCCUUUCUACUUCCAGUCGAGUGACUCAUGGCUACCAUGCCGCUCAACUCUAUCGUCAUCCUUUCUACCAUCGUUGUUUGGUUUCAAGCACUAUAUUGAGAGCGGGAAGAGCAAAAUGAGAGCAGUUAGGGUGGUUGAAAUAGGGUAUGGGCAUAGGUAGAAAGUUGGUGGAACCUGAUUUGGGAUAAAAGGAUCACUAGCAGCUUGAAAGGAGGUGGUGGAGGGCUCCGAAUUCUCUCGAUCUCUUUGUAUUUUUUGAGUUUCUGUGAGGUUGAGAGAUUUUGGUUUGCAUUUAUUGAGCUUUAUUUGGGAAGUUAUCAAGAGCCAAUGCUAAUGGGAUUGCACUAUACUGUAAAGUUAUAUGUUCAUCCAUAUCCUCCUAUUUAUUUAUUUAUUUUUGUAUAUAUUGGUUUUAUUCUGUA